rnacentral:rRNA from 1 species
UCUGGNUCAGCUGGGGGCGUGCGGUGGGUACGGGCUGGCUNGAGUGCGGUAGGGGAGGCUGGAACUCCUGGUGUAGCGGUGGAAUGCGCAGAUAUCAGGAGGAACACCGGUGGCGAAGGCGGGUCUCUGGGCCGUUACUGACGCUGAGGAGCGAAAGCGUGGGGAGCGAACAGGAUUAGAUACCCUGGUAGUCCACGCUGUAAACGUUGGGCACUAGGUGUGGGGGGUCUUUCCGGGUCCUCCGCGCCGUAGCUAACGCAUUAAGUGCCCCGCCUGGGGAGUACGGCCGCAAGGCUAAAACUCAAAGGAAUUGACGGGGGCCCGCACAAGCGGCGGAGCAUGCGGAUUAAUUCGAUGCGACGCGAAGAACCUUACCAAGGCUUGACAUGUGCCGGUUGUCCUUCGGAGACGGGGGGUCCUCCCUUUGGGGGGGUCGGUUCACAGGUGGUGCAUGGUUGUCGUCAGCUCGUGUCGUGAGAUGUUGGGUUAAGUCCCGCAACGAGCGCAACCCUUGUCCCGUGUUGCCGGCACGUCGUGGUGGGGACUCGCGGGAGACUGCCGGGGUUAACUCGGAGGAGGGUGGGGAUGACGUCAAAUCAUCAUGCCCCUUAUGUCUUGGGCUUCACGCAUGCUACAAUGGCCGGUACAGUGGGUUGCGAUGUCGUGAGGCGGAGCGAAUCCCUUAAAGCCGGUCUCAGUUCGGAUCGGUGUCUGCAACUCGACACCGUGAAGCUGGAGUCGCUAGUAAUCGCAGAUCAGCAGCGCUGCGGUGAAUACGUUCUCGGGCCUUGUACACACCGCCCGUCACGUCAUGAAAGCUGGCAACACCCGAAGCCCGUGGCCCUAUGGGGAGCGGU